rnacentral:tRNA from 1 species
UGGGGAAUUUAGGUUAAUGGAAGAGCUUCUAACUCUUAACAUGGGCAGUUCGAUUCUGUUCAUCCCUUA